rnacentral:rRNA from 1 species
UACGUAGGGGGCAAGCGUUGUCCGGAUUUACUGGGCGUAAAGAGCGUGUAGGCGGCCACGCAGGUCCGUUGUGAAAACUGGAGGCUCAACCUCCAGCUGUCGACGGAAACCGUGUGGCUAGAGUCCGGAAGAGGAGAGUGGAAUUCCUGGUGUAGCGGUGAAAUGCGCAGAUAUCAGGAAGAACACCAAUGGCGAAGGCAGCUCGCUGGGACGGUACUGACGCUGAGACGCGAAAGCGUGGGGAGCAAACAGG